UCCUCCAAAUGCAGUUCCGGAGUGGAGGCGUGCUCGCACCCGGGGAGAGAGCCAGAAAGCUGAGCCGCGGCGCCCCAGCGAGAGCACGAGGCCCCGGGUCUGGACUCCGCCACCACGCUCCUCUGCGGCCCCUUCCUGGUGUCUGCCAGCCCGCGGGGCCCAGGCGCGGUCCGCCUUCCUCCCAGCCCCGGGGAACGCGCG
rnacentral:lncRNA from 1 species